CGGUCGGGUGCCCCAAACUCCUAGUCGCUCGUCGGCUGGAGGGCUAGAGGAGCGGCGGCGUCCAGCCGACGAUCGCCAGCGACGUGAGAGGACGAGAUCGGAUCGGAAGAGGGAGGUGGGAACCGAGAGAGGAAGGUUCCCUAUGUAUUUAUUUGGACGAAAGCCCCGAGUUUGCCCCUGAGCGGCCAGGCGAGGCAGCAGCAGAGGACGACGAGCGGCGGAGAAGGCGGUGGAGGAGGAAGACGGCGGCGCGGAUGCGUAGGCGCCCGGCGGCGGUGGGUGCCUGGGCGGCGGCAGAAACGGCCGGGAGCAGGAGGCGGGGGAGGAGGAGUAGGCGGUGGGCGGCGCCAGCGCGACGCAGCUCAAGGGCGCGGGGUGGUGGCGGCCGGCGGCGGCCGCCGGUGGGCGUUGAGGCGCGGGGCGGAGAGGAGAGGCGGCGGGCGGUCGGCGGGCGCAGGAGAGGUGGGGGUGGAGAGGAAAGGCGGCUGGCGGCCGGCGGGCGCAGGAGAGGCGGGAGGCCGGGCCCGGCACGCGGAGAGCGCGACGGCGGCGCGGACGAGUCGCGAGGCGGAGUAGCGGGAGGCGGAGGUGGCAGCGGGCGAGGAGGGGCACGGGGAGGAUAACGGGGAGGGCCGGGAGGAGUGGACAAGGAAGACGGGGAGGGCGAGGAGGGGCACGGAGAAGAUAACGAAGAGAGAAAAAGAAUAGGAAAAAAAGAAAAAAGAAAAAUCAAAGGAGGAAAAGAAAAAAAGAAAAAACAAGGGUAUGGUGG
rnacentral:lncRNA from 1 species